UUCGCAAUGCCCGAAAGGGUGACGAAGCGACGCCGCGUGAGCGAAGAAGGCCCUAGGGUUGUAAAGCUCUGUCGAGGGUUAUGAAAUAUAAAAAGAUUAAUACCCUUUUUAUUUGACAAAGGCCCCAAAGGAAGUCACGGCUAACUCUGUGCCAGCAGCCGCGGUAAUACAGAGGUGGCAAGCGUUGUUCGGUAUUAUUGGGCGUAAAGAGCACGUAGGUGGUUUUGUAAGUCAGGUGUGAAAGCCUUCUGUUCAAAGGAAGAACGGCAUCUGAAACUGCAGAUCUUGAGUGUAGGAGGGGAGAGUGGAACUUCUGGUGGAGCGGUGAAAUGCGUAGAUAUCAGAAGGAACGUCGGCGGCGAAAGCGACUCUCUGGCCUAUUACUGACACUGAGGUGCGAAAGUUAGGGGAGCAAACGGGAUUAGAUACCCCGGUAGUCCUAACCGUAAACGAUGGGCACUAAGUAGAGGGGUUUU
rnacentral:rRNA from 2 species